CGUGGGUAACCUGCCCAAGAGACUGGGAUAACACCUGGAAACAGAUGCUAAUACCGGAUAACAACACUAGACGCAUGUCUAGAGUUUAAAAGAUGGUUCUGCUAUCACUCUUGGAUGGACCUGCGGUGCAUUAGCUAGUUGGUAAGGUAACGGCUUACCAAGGCAAUGAUGCAUAGCCGAGUUGAGAGACUGAUAGGCCACAUUGGGACUGAGACACGGUCCAAACUCCUACGGGAGGCAGCAGCC
rnacentral:rRNA from 1 species